GGAUUAAAGUCAUGGGCGCAGCCUGAUCAGCCAUGCCGCGUGUGUGAAGAAGGCCUUUUGGUUGUAAAGCACUUUAAGCGAGGAGGAGGCUACUGGUAUUAAUACUACCGGAUAGUGGACGUUACUCGCAGAAUAAGCACCGGCUAACUCUGUGCCAGCAGCCGCGGUAAUACAGAGGGUGCGAGCGUUAAUCGGAUUUACUGGGCGUAAAGCGUGCGUAGGCGGCUUUUUAAGUCGGAUGUGAAAUCCCUGAGCUUAACUUAGGAAUUGCAUUCGAUACUGGGAAGCUAGAGUAUGGGAGAGGAUGGUAGAAUUCCAGGUGUAGCGGUGAAAUGCGUAGAGAUCUGGAGGAAUACCGAUGGCGAAGGCAGCCAUCUGGCCUAAUACUGACGCUGAGGUACGAAAGCAUGGGGAGCAAACAGGAUUAGAUACCCUGGUAGUCCAUGCCGUAAACGAUGUCUACUAGCCGUUGGGGCCUUUGAGGCUUUAGUGGCGCAGCUAACGCGAUAAGUAGACCGCCUGGGGAGUACGGUCGCAAGACUAAAACUCAAAUGAAUUGACGGGGGCCCGCACAAGCGGUGGAGCAUGUGGUUUAAUUCGAUGCAACGCGAAGAACCUUACCUGGUCUUGACAUAGUAAGAACUUUCCAGAGAUGGAUUGGUGCCUUCGGGAACUUACAUACAGGUGCUGCAUGGCUGUCGUCAGCUCGUGUCGUGAGAUGUUGGGUUAAGUCCCGCAACGAGCGCAACCCUUUUCCUUAUUUGCCAGCGGGUUAAGCCGGGAACUUUAAGGAUACUGCCAGUGACAAACUGGAGGAAGGCGGGGACGACGUCAAGUCAUCAUGGCCCUUACGACCAGGGCUACACACGUGCUACAAUGGUCGGUACAAAGGGUUGCUACCUAGCGAUAGGAUGCUAAUCUCAAAAAGCCGAUCGUAGUCCGGGAUUGCAGUCUGCAACUCGACUCCAUGAAGUCGGAAUCGCUAGUAAUCGCGGAUCAGAAUGCCGCGGUGAAUACGUUCCCAGGCCUUGUACACACCGCUCGUCACACCAUGGGAAUUUGUGCAUCAGAAGUAGUAGUCUAACCGCAAGAGACGCUUACCACGGUGUGGCCGAUGACUGGGGUGAGU
rnacentral:rRNA from 1 species